rnacentral:lncRNA from 1 species
UUACCAACGAUCUCAGUUGUCAAUUAUUAUUUGCUCUUAAUUUUCAAUCUCCUUUUUUAUUGUGUGAAACUGUGUACCUAAGUGGUUACUUUCCCUGUUCAUUAUCCUGUGGUUUGACUAAAGAGUAGGCGAUGGUAUUCCUAAACCAAUCAGGGAAUAAACUCCUCUGGUUACAUUGAUGGGUGUAUAAACCUUAAAUAAGCCCCAUCAGAAUGAAGCCAAGGAGUACUGUGUAGGUGUUAGUCUGGAAUUGCCACAGCUGUUUUCCUAUUUUAAGGUGAGCCAGUUUGAGGAUAAAGUUGAAAUAUAGAGGCUAACAGUAUUGAAAAGGCACCAAAAAAUAUGACUGAUCACAUUGUUUUUCUGAAACCUAA